ACGGUAGUUUCGCGGUACUGCUGUGUCGAGGGCUAACGGUAGUUUCGCGGAACUGCGGUCUCGCUGUCUUGCAUUUCACCGGCGUAUGGUUUAAUUGGCCGACUUUUAUCGCAGGUAUAUGCUAAACUGCGACAGGGACUAAAGAGGAAAAAGCGAGUGCCUAAUUGAUACCAAAACGUUUCUGCAAGAUAUCACCAUGCUGCUGAAGGUGAGAUACCAGAGGACCAAGAAGUACAUCCGAUUACAGCUAGGUUUCACCUAUUUUGAAUUCAUCACUGCAGUCAAAAACAAAUUUGGACUCCAUGAUGCAGCUGAACUUCACAUAUUUGAUGAAACUGACACUGCAGUGGAGGAAGACAUUCUUCUUGAACUGAUAAGAGUCCAAUCCAGACCUUUGCCUGAUCGUGCGUGACAGCAUUUCAG